rfam:Schistosoma curassoni strain Dakar, Senegal genome assembly, scaffold: SCTD_scaffold0000422
UUCGCUUCUCGGCUCUCUGAGCUAAGAUCAUGUGUAUUAUCUCUUCUUUGCAGUGUAAUUUCUGCAACGGUCUCUAAACUGAGACCAAUGAAACUACCUGUAUUUUUCACCUCCGGAGCUUGCUCAACCCCGUCCACAGGUCAGCCUCGUAUUGCAUUACCUCGAGGAUUGGCCCAUUAGGU